AAGACCUUGCGCUUUUUGAGCGGCCGAUGCCUGAUUAGCUAGUUGGUAAGGUAAUGGCUUACCAAGGCAACGAUCAGUAGCUGGUCUGAGAGGACGACCAGCCACACUGGGACUGAGACACGGCCCAGACUCCUACGGGAGGCAGCAGUGGGGAAUUUUGGACAAUGGGCGAAAGCCUGAUCCAGCCAUGCCGCGUGAGUGAAGAAGGCCUUCGGGUUGUAAAGCUCUUUCGGUCGGGAAGAAAUAGUUGUGGCUAAUAUCCACAAUGAAUGACGGUACCGACAUAAGAAGCACCGGCUAACUACGUGCCAGCAGCCGCGGUAAUACGUAGGGUGCAAGCGUUAAUCGGAAUUAUUGGGCGUAAAGGGUGCGCAGGCGGUUGUAUAAGUCAGAUGUGAAAUCCCUGGGCUUAACCUAGGAAUU
rnacentral:rRNA from 1 species